rnacentral:sRNA from 1 species
AGCGCAUCGACAAGGAGCUACUCGAGG